UACAGGGGGGGCAAGCGUUGUUCGGAAUUACUGGGCGUAAAGGGCUCGUAGGUGGCCAACUAAGUCAGACGUGAAAUCCCCAGGCUUAACCUGGGAACUGCGUCUGAUACUGGAUGGCUAGAGUUUGGGAGAGGGAUGCGGAAUUCCAGGUGUAGCGGUGAAAUGCGUAGAUAUCUGGAGGAACACCGGUGGCGAAGGCGGCAUCCUGGACCAACACUGACGCUGAGGAGCGAAAGCCAGGGGAGCAAACGGG
rnacentral:rRNA from 1 species